GCCCAUGGGGAAGCGCCGCUGCUCUGCUCGGCUGGUGUGCAGAGCAUCGGGAGGAGAUGGACACCAUGGAAAAGGAGGAUGAGAUAGUGUAUCUGCGGUCUUUGAAAACUAGGAUCGGCAUAAAAUCAUCAUAGAAUCACCAAGGUUGGAAAAGACCUCCAAGAUCAUCCAGUCCAACCGUCCAUCAGUCACCAGCAUUGCCUGGAUGAAAGCGGAAAUUACUAUUAGCUUUAACUUGCGUGGACAAAGGAUUGCCACUUCUAGAACGUUCCUUCCAACUUCUAUCCAGAGAUGUGGAGAUGUGUCACUGCUGUCACCUUGUGAAGUCAGAAGCGUUUGGAGCAGCUUUUGUGGCUAUGGAUAAAGCUGUUUGCUUCCCGCUGUUUGCAUUUUUUUAAGGUACAACAUAGCUUUGUCCCAAGGCAUAAAGAAGGAGCCUCAUCCUGAGCACCAGAUACUGGACAAGAUAGUCCUGUUUUGUUUUAUUUUUAUACUAAUUCCAUUGCUGAAACAGACUGCACUUCUGUUCUCGCUGAAACUGUUACCUCCCUGAGAGUUAUACCUUCGUGCAGCAAAAGAGGCCCGUGAGCACCACUGGCACUGAAAACUACAGAAAUGGAAACGAAGACAGAAAAUACACAAAGAGCUUAAAUGACUGCAUGGAGUAGGGCUAGAGGAAGGUUAAAGUAAAAAAGAACAAAUUCGACUGACUGAUUCUUUAACAACUUCAUUAAAGAAGGCAAGCUCCAAAAUUAACAUAGAAGCUUUCUUCACAGAGAAACCAAAGAAACAAACCAUGCUGCCUCGAUGAGAAUCUUGAAACAGAUUUGAGUAAGUGGCUCCUCAAAAUAACAGAUGCAGAAAAUGCACCAUGUGAGAAAUGAACUGAAGUAAUCUUAGAAAUCCUUAGGAUAAAUAAAGAAUGUCUAGAAGAUGAUGAAAAGGAAUUUAAAAAUCAAAACCAUGCAAAACCAGUUGCAAAGCAGAGAUGCCAUCUGAGUGUGGAGGAGGCCAUAAUCUCAGCAUCCAUGCCUGGGAGGAGGAAAGGGUAGCUCCUGG